rnacentral:rRNA from 1 species
GGUUAAGCGACUAAGCGUACACGGUGGAUGCCCUGGCAGUCAGAGGCGAUGAAGGACGUGCUAAUCUGCGAAAAGCGUCGGUAAGGUGAUAUGAACCGUUAUAACCGGCGAUGUCCGAAUGGGGAAACCCAGUGCAAUUCGUUGCACUAUCGUUAACUGAAUACAUAGGUUAACGAGGCGAACCGGGGGAACUGAAACAUCUAAGUACCCCGAGGAAAAGAAAUCAACCGAGAUUCCCCCAGUAGCGGCGAGCGAACGGGGAGCAGCCCAGAGUCUGAAUCAGCUUGUGUGUUAGUGGAACGGUCUGGAAAGUCCGACGGUACAGGGUGAUAGUCCCGUACACCAAAAUGCACAGGCUGUGAACUCGAAGAGUAGGGCGGGACACGUGGUAUCCUGUCUGAAUAUGGGGGGACCAUCCUCCAAGGCUAAAUACUCCUGACUGACCGAUAGUGAACCAGUACCGUGAGGGAAAGGCGAAAAGAACCCCGGCGAGGGGAGUGAAAAAGAACCUGAAACCGUGUACGUACAAGCAGUGGGAGCACCUUCGGGUGUGACUGCGUACCUUUUGUAUAAUGGGUCAGCGACUUAUAUUCUGUAGCAAGGUUAACCGUAUAGGGGAGCCGCAGGGAAACCGAGUCUUAACUGGGCGUUAAGUUGCAGGGUAUAGACCCGAAACCCGGUGAUCUAGCCAUGGGCAGGUUGAAGGUUGGGUAACACUAACUGGAGGACCGAACCGACUAAUGUUGAAAAAUUAGCGGAUGACUUGUGGCUGGGGGUGAAAGGCCAAUCAAACCGGGAGAUAGCUGGUUCUCCCCGAAAGCUAUUUAGGUAGCGCCUCGUGAAUUCAUCUUCGGGGGUAGAGCACUGUUUCGGCUAGGGGGUCAUCCCGACUUACCAACCCGAUGCAAACUACGAAUACCGAAGAAUGUUAUCACGGGAGACACACGGCGGGUGCUAACGUCCGUCGUGAAGAGGGAAACAACCCAGACCGCCAGCUAAGGUCCCAAAGUCAUGGUUAAGUGGGAAACGAUGUGGGAAGGCACAGACAGCCAGGAUGUUGGCUUAGAAGCAGCCAUCAUUUAAAGAAAGCGUAAUAGCUCACUGGUCGAGUCGGCCUGCGCGGAAGAUGUAACGGGGCUAAACCAUGCACCGAAGCUGCGGCAGCGACACUAUGUGUUGUUGGGUAGGGGAGCGUUCUGUAAGCCUGCGAAGGUGUGCUGUGAGGCAUGCUGGAGGUAUCAGAAGUGCGAAUGCUGACAUAAGUAACGAUAAAGCGGGUGAAAAGCCCGCUCGCCGGAAGACCAAGGGUUCCUGUCCAACGUUAAUCGGGGCAGGGUGAGUCGACCCCUAAGGCGAGGCCGAAAGGCGUAGUCGAUGGGAAACAGGUUAAUAUUCCUGUACUUGGUGUUACUGCGAAGGGGGACGGAGAAGGCUAUGUUAGCCGGGCGACGGUUGUCCCGGUUUAAGCAUGUAGGCUGGUUGUCCAGGCAAAUCCGGAUAAUCAAGGCUGAGGUGUGAUGACGAGGCACUACGGUGCUGAAGUAACAAAUGCCCUGCUUCCAGGAAAAGCCUCUAAGCAUCAGGUAACAUCAAAUCGUACCCCAAACCGACACAGGUGGUCAGGUAGAGAAUACCAAGGCGCUUGAGAGAACUCGGGUGAAGGAACUAGGCAAAAUGGUGCCGUAACUUCGGGAGAAGGCACGCUGGUGUGUAGGUGAAGUCCCUGCGGAUGGAGCUGAGACCAGUCGAAGAUACCAGCUGGCUGCAACUGUUUAUUAAAAACACAGCACUGUGCAAACACGAAAGUGGACGUAUACGGUGUGACGCCUGCCCGGUGCCGGAAGGUUAAUUGAUGGGGUUAUCCGUAAGGAGAAGCUCUUGAUCGAAGCCCCGGUAAACGGCGGCCGUAACUAUAACGGUCCUAAGGUAGCGAAAUUCCUUGUCGGGUAAGUUCCGACCUGCACGAAUGGCGUAAUGAUGGCCAGGCUGUCUCCACCCGAGACUCAGUGAAAUUGAACUCGCUGUGAAGAUGCAGUGUACCCGCGGCAAGACGGAAAGACCCCGUGAACCUUUACUAUAGCUUGACACUGAACAUUGAGCCUUGAUGUGUAGGAUAGGUGGGAGGCUUUGAAGCGUGGACGCCAGUCUGCGUGGAGCCAACCUUGAAAUACCACCCUUUAAUGUUUGAUGUUCUAACGUUGGCCCCUUACCGGGGUUGCGGACAGUGUCUGGUGGGUAGUUUGACUGGGGCGGUCUCCUCCCAAAGCGUAACGGAGGAGCACGAAGGUUAGCUAAUCCUGGUCGGACAUCAGGAGGUUAGUGCAAUGGCAUAAGCUAGCUUGACUGCGAGCGUGACGGCGCGAGCAGGUGCGAAAGCAGGUCAUAGUGAUCCGGUGGUUCUGAAUGGAAGGGCCAUCGCUCAACGGAUAAAAGGUACUCCGGGGAUAACAGGCUGAUACCGCCCAAGAGUUCAUAUCGACGGCGGUGUUUGGCACCUCGAUGUCGGCUCAUCACAUCCUGGGGCUGAAGUAGGUCCCAAGGGUAUGGCUGUUCGCCAUUUAAAGUGGUACGCGAGCUGGGUUUAGAACGUCGUGAGACAGUUCGGUCCCUAUCUGCCGUGGGCGCUGGAGAAUUGAGGGGGGCUGCUCCUAGUACGAGAGGACCGGAGUGGACGCAUCACUGGUGUUCGGGUUGUCAUGCCAAUGGCACUGCCCGGUAGCUAAAUGCGGAAGAGAUAAGUGCUGAAAGCAUCUAAGCACGAAACUUGCCCCGAGAUGAGUUCUCCCUGAGACUUUAAGUCUCCUGAAGGAACGUUGAAGACGACGACGUUGAUAGGCCGGGUGUGUAAGCGCAGCGAUGCGUUGAGCUAACCGGUACUAAUGAACCGUGAGGCUUAACCUU